rnacentral:rRNA from 1 species
CACGUAGGCACCAAGCGUUGUCCGGAUUUAUUGGGCGUAAAGAGCUUGUAGGCGGCUUGGCAAGUCGGAUGUGAAAUCCCUCGGCUCAACCAAGGAAGUGCAUCCGAAACUGCUGAGCUUGAGUACUUAAGAGGAUCGCGGAAUUCCCGGUGUAGAGGUGAAAUUCGUAGAUAUCGGGAGGAACACCAGUGGCGAAGGCGGCGAUCUGGGAAGAUACUGACGCUGAGGUGCGAAAGCGUGGGGAGCAAACAGG